rnacentral:misc_RNA from 1 species
GGACUACUAGGGUUUCUAAUCCUGUUUGAUACCCACGCUUUCGUGCCUCAGCGUCAGUUACAGUUUAGUAAGCUGCCUUCGCAAUCGGUGUUCUGUGGUAUAUCUAUGCAUUUCACCGCUACACACCACAUUCCGCCUACCUCAAAUGUACUCAAGACUAACAGUAUCAACGGCAAUUCUACAGUUAAGCUGCAGGAUUUCACCACUGACUUACUAGUCCGCCUACGCACCCUUUAAACCCAAUAAAUCCGGAUAACGCUCGGAUCCUCCGUAUUACCGCGGCUGCUGGCAC